UACGAAGGUUGCAAGCGUUACUCGGAAUUACUAGGCGUAAAGGGCAGGUAGGUGGUUUGGUAAGUCUGUUGUGAAAGCUCCCGGCUCAACUGGGAGAGGCCAACGGAUACUACCAGGCUUGAGUAUAGGAGAGGUUACUGGAAUUCCCGGUGUAGCGGUGAAAUGCGCAGAGAUCGGGAGGAACACCAAUGGCGAAAGCAGGUAACUGGACUAUUACUGACACUCAACUGCGAAAGCUAGGGGAGCAAACAGG
rnacentral:rRNA from 1 species